GACGAACGCUGGCGGCGUGCUUAACACAUGCAAGUCGAACGAAGUGGCGAACGGGUGAGUAAUACGUGGGUAACCUGCCCUCCUUUUUGGGAUAAGCCUUGGAAACGGGGUCUAAUACCGAAUAAAGGGGGAUGGCCUCGCGCAUGAUGGGCUAGUAGGUGGGGUAGCGGCUCACCUAGGUGAUGAUCAGUAGCCGGACUGAGCGGUUGAUUGGCCGCAUGUGGACUGGGACACGGCCCAGACGCGUACGGGAGGCAGCAGUGGGGGAUAUGGCGCAAUGGGCGAAAGCCUGAGGCAGCGACGCUGCGUGGGGGAUGAAGGCUUUCGGGUUGUAAACCUCUUUCGCUAUCGAACGGGUAGGUGGAGAAGAAGCGCCGGCUAACUACGUGCCAGCAGCCGCGGUAAUAC
rnacentral:rRNA from 1 species